GAUGAACGCUGGCGGCGUGCCUAAUACAUGCAAGUCGAGCGAACAGACGAGGAGCUUGCCCCUCUGACGUUAGCGGCGGACGGGUGAGUAACACGUGGAUAACCUACCUAUAAGACUGGGAUAACUUCGGGAAACCGGAGCUAAUACCGGAUAAUAUAUUGAACCGCAUGGUUCAAUAGUGAAAGACGGUUUUGCUGUCACUUAUAGAUGGAUCCGCGCCGCAUUAGCUAGUUGGUAAGGUAACGGCUUACCAAGGCGACGAUGCGUAGCCGACCUGAGAGGGUGAUCGGCCACACUGGAACUGAGACACGGUCCAGACUCCUACGGGAGGCAGCAGUAGGGAAUCUUCCGCAAAGGGCGAAAGCCUGGCGGAGCAACGCCGCGUGAGUGAUGAAGGUCUUCGGAUCGUAAAACUCUGUUAUUAGGGAAGAACAAAUGUGUAAGUAACUAUGCACGUCUUGACGGUACCUAAUCAGAAAGCCACGGCUAACUACGUG
rnacentral:rRNA from 1 species